CUCACUGACCCUGUGACUUGACAUUAUUCCUUCGAGACUGAGAGUCCCAGACAGGAAUCCCUGAUUGUCUGAACCAAGUGCUCAUCAUCACUGUAGGGGACCUUUGAAAGAGCUGCCGGAGAAGGUGAGGAAGAAAGCCCUGCCUGGAAAGCAACAGUGAACCACCAGUGUCAGCAACGUGAAGCUUGCUGCAAGGCCUGCAGUCAUGAUGAACCCAGCAGCUUCUAGUUCAUCCCAGUGGCCCUGAGACUAUUUAUCCUGUGACUUCACACGCGCUUGGAAGUUUUGUUGUGAUCUUCGCUGAGUCUGUGCGGAAAUCACAGGCUAGAUUUUAGAUUUUUUACUUUUCAGCAUGUGACUUAAAGUUCUGUUGACUUGGGGAAAGGGCUGAUAAUCUUGUGCUAAAUCACUGAUGGAAUAUAAAUUAAAAUCUCCAUCUCUCAGUCAAUCCAAGUGUCCAUCAAUGGUAGACUGGAUAAAGAAAAUGUGGUACAUACACACCAUGGAAUACUAUGCAGCCAUAAAAAGAAACGAGAUCACGUCCUUUCUAGGAACAUGGAUGGAGCUGGAAACCAUUAUCCUCAGCAAACUAACAAAGGAAGAGAAAACCAAACACCACAUGUUCUCAUUUAUAAGUGGGAGCUGAACAAUGAGAACACGUGGACACAGGGAGGAGAACAACACACACUGGGGCCUGUCACGGGGCGGGGUGAGGGGAGGGAGAGCAUUAGGAAAAACAGCUAAUACAUGCUAGGCUUGAUAUCUAGGCGAUGGGUUGGUAGGUGCAGCAAACCACCAUGGCACACAUUUACCUAUGUAACAAACCUGCACAUCCUGCACAUGUACCCUGAAACUUAGAAAUAAAAAUUUUUCAAAAGGGAAAA
rnacentral:lncRNA from 1 species